rnacentral:rRNA from 1 species
CAGGAUGAACGCUGGCGGCGUGCCUAAUACAUGCAAGUCGAGCGAAUGGAUUAAGAGCUUGCUCUUAUGAAGUUAGCGGCGGACGGGUGAGUAACACGUGGGUAACCUGCCCAUAAGACUGGGAUAACUCCGGGAAACCGGGGCUAAUACCGGAUAACAUUUUGAACUGCAUGGUUCGAAAUUGAAAGGCGGCUUCGGCUGUCACUUAUGGAUGGACCCGCGUCGCAUUAGCUAGUUGGUGAGGUAACGGCUCACCAAGGCAACGAUGCGUAGCCGACCUGAGAGGGUGAUCGGCCACACUGGGACUGAGACACGGCCCAGACUCCUACGGGAGGCAGCAGUAGGGAAUCUUCCGCAAUGGACGAAAGUCUGACGGAGCAACGCCGCGUGAGUGAUGAAGGCUUUCGGGUCGUAAAACUCUGUUGUUAGGGAAGAACAAGUGCUAGUUGAAUAAGCUGGCACCU